AGAGUUUGAUCAUGGCUCAGGAUGAACGCUAGCGGCAGGCUUAACACAUGCAAGUCGCGGGGCAGCGAGGGUAGCAAUACCUGUCGGCGACCGGCGGAAGGGUGCGUAACGCGUGAGCAACUUGCCCGUGGUUGGGGGAUAACCGGUGGAAACGCCGCCUAAUACCCCGUAACAAUCGGAAUCCCAUGUUUCUGAUUUGAUAGGUAGCAAUACUGUCCACGGAUAGGCUCGCGUCCGAUUAGCCAGUUGGCGGGGCAACGGCCCACCAAAGCUACGAUCGGUAGGGGAUCUGAGAGGAUGGCCCCCCACAUUGGGACUGAGACACGGCCCAAACUCCUACGGGAGGCAGCAGUGAGGAAUAUUGGUCAAUGGGCGGAAGCCUGAACCAGCCAUGCCGCGUGCGGGAUGUAGGUCCUAUGGAUUGUGAACCGCUUUUGCAGUGGAGCAAUAAGGAUGUCGUGACAUUCGAUGAGAGUACACUGCGAAUAAGCAUCGGCUAACUCCGUGCCAGCAGCCGCGGUAAUACGGAGGAUGCGAGCGUUAUCCGGAAUCAUUGGGUUUAAAGGGUGCGUAGGCGGCCUUUCAAGCCCGGGGUGAAAAUCUGGGGCCCAACCCCAGACCUGCCUCGGGAACUGGCUGGCUGGAGUACGCUUGCCGCGGGAGGAAUGAGUGGUGUAGCGGUGAAAUGCAUAGAUAUCACUCAGAACACCGAUUGCGAAGGCAUCCCGCGAAGGCGCAACUGACGCUGAGGCACGAAAGCGUGGGGAUCGAACAGGAUUAGAUACCCUGGUAGUCCACGCAGUAAACGAUGAUGGCUAGCCGUCGGCCCGUUAGAGUGGUCGGUGGCCGAGCGAAAGCGAUAAGCCAUCCACCUGGGGAGUACGGCCGCAAGGCUGAAACUCAAAGGAAUUGACGGGGGCCCGCACAAGCGGAGGAACAUGUGGUUUAAUUCGAUGAUACGCGAGGAACCUUACCCGGGCUCGAACGGCAGAGGAAGGAAUCAGAGAUGGUUUCGCCCUUCGGGGCUUCUGUCGAGGUGCUGCAUGGUUGUCGUCAGCUCGUGCCGUGAGGUGUCGGCUUAAGUGCCAUAACGAGCGCAACCCUUGCGUCCAGUUGCCAGCGGGUGAAGCCGGGGACUCUGGACGGACUGCCACCGCAAGGUGUGAGGAGGGGGGGGAUGACGUCAAAUCAGCACGGCCCUUACGUCCGGGGCGACACACGUGUUACAAUGGUGGCUACAGAGGGGUGCUACCCAGCGAUGGGGAGCUGAUCCGUUAAAAGCCGCCUCAGUUCGGAUCGGAGCCUGCAACUCGGCUCCGUGAAGCUGGAUUCGCUAGUAAUCGCGCAUCAGCCAUGGCGCGGUGAAUACGUUCCCGGGCCUUGUACACACCGCCCGUCAAGCCAUGGGAGUCUGGGGCGCCUGAAGUCCGUGACCGAAAGGAGCGGCCUAAGGCGAAACAGGUGACUGGGGCUAAGUCGUAACAAGGUAGCC
rnacentral:rRNA from 1 species